GAUGAACGCUGGCGGCGUGCCUAAUACAUGCAAGUCGAGCGAACAGACGAGGAGCUUGCUCCUCUGACGUUAGCGGCGGACGGGUGAGUAACACGUGGAUAACCUACCUAUAAGACUGGGAUAACUUCGGGAAACCGGAGCUAAUACCGGAUAAUAUAUUGAACCGCAUGGUUCAAUAGUGAAAGACGGUUUUGCUGUCACUUAUAGAUGGAUCCGCGCCGCAUUAGCUAGUUGGUAAGGUAACGGCUUACCAAGGCAACGAUGCGUAGCCGACCUGAGAGGGGGGUCGGCGGCACUGGAACUGGAACACGGUCCAGACUCCUACGGGAGGCAGCAGUAGGGAAUCGUCCGCAAUGGGCGAAAGCCUGACGGAGCAACGCCGCGUGAGUGAUGAAGGUCUUCGGAUCGUAAAACUCUGUUAUUAGGGAAGAACAAAUGUGUAAGUAACUAUGCACGUCUUGACGGUACCUAAUCAGAAAGCCACGGCUAACUACGUG
rnacentral:rRNA from 1 species